rnacentral:rRNA from 1 species
AGGAACGCGAAGAACCUUACCAGGUCUUGACAUCUUUUGAUCACCUGAGAGAUCAGGUUUCCCCUUCGGGGGCAAAAUGACAGGUGGUGCAUGGUUGUCGUCAGCUCGUGUCGUGAGAUGUUGGGUUAAGUCCCGCAACGAGCGCAACCCUUAUGACUAGUUGCCAGCAUUUAGUUGGGCACUCUAGUAAGACUGCCGGUGACAAACCGGAGGAAGGUGGGGAUGACGUCAAAUCAUCAUGCCCCUUAUGACCUGGGCUACACACGUGCUACAAUGGAUGGUACAACGAGUUGCGAGACCGCGAGGUCAAGCUAAUCUCUUAAAGCCAUUCUCAGUUCGGACUGUAGGCUGCAACUCGCCUACACGAAGUCGGAUUCGCUAGUAAUCGCGGAUCAGCACGCCGCGGUGAAUACGUUCCCGGGUCUUGUA